UUGAACUUACAACCCCGAGAUCGAGAGUUGCAUGCUUUGCCAACUGCUAGCCAGGGGCAGGACUCUGUGUCCUCCGUUCUUAAGAACACCUGGAAGUUCCCACCUCCACCUGAACACGUGUAGGUUCUUUCACCCUGGUUCCUUAUUUAUCCAUGGUGAGAUCAGUCGCUCAUAACAAAUCUGGAAAAUUUCAUCUGUAUCACUAAAAGAGAGAGAAUAAUGAAAUGAACCUUCCUGUGCCCAUCACCCAGCUUCAGCAAUGAGCAAACACAUGGCCAGUCUGGUUUCAACUUUACCCCUGAAUGGGUUAUUUUAAAGCAGAUGCCAGACAUCAUACCGUUUCAUCCGUAAGUACUUGUUGGUCUUUCCAAGGGAACCCUCCAUGUGGAAAUCAACUUCACGAACAUCUAUUUCUCCACCACCCUGACCUGACUGUGCAAUUUUCCUGAGUGUUUACUCUGUACCAGGCACUGUGCUAUGCCCUUAACAUGAAUCAUCUCACACGAUUUCACAAGGAUCUUGUGACAAAGAAGCAUGAGAUUUACGGAGGUCUCCCCUCCCUCUUUCCCCCCACCGCACACAUUUUAAUUAAGGUGUCUUUUGAGAAGGAAGACUUUAAUCCAAAGUGAUCACUUUGAUACUCGAAGAGACACAUUUGGAGGCUACUUGGCGAGGAGGAAUUAAAGACGGAGAAGCUGAAUAAAUAGCAAGCAAAAUGUUAAUGUUUUGGCUUUGUGGUGUCUGCA